rnacentral:lncRNA from 1 species
GUUUGCUGUGAGUCAAGGCUCUGUGUUUAAGGCCCUAUUUUGAUCUAUAAUGGUUUACUUGAAAAAUUUAUUACUUUGAUGGAAAGUUGUCUCAUUCGAACUCAUCUUCUUGUAUCUAUAAAUCUUUAAAAUUUCCCCUUAUAAAUAACUGCUUUACAGUCCUCCAAAAACGUCAUUUUGGUGCUGAAUCUUUUGUAAUUUGUGCAAUAUGAACUAGCACAUUUCUAAAGCUUUAACGGUAACGACAGUUAUGAUGGUACAAGAACGAUUACGUCAAUCCAACCAUAUGUCCCCAUUCAAAUACAUUGAUCGGCCAAAAAAAGGGUGAUUCCAAUCCCCUCCCCCCCCCCUGUAUCCACCACUGGACCUAUAUUAGAAUCUACUAGGUCGGUAGACUAUUUACUAGAUUAAUUAAAAGAGCAAAAUUAAUUAUAUUCAAGCUGUUUAAAUCAGUUGCAAUUAAUUAAAAGUUUAUGCUGUUUUACAAUC